rnacentral:rRNA from 1 species
UCAGUAACACGUAGUCAACCUAACUCGUGGACGUGGAUAACCUCGGGAAACUGAGAAUAAACCGCGAUAGACAACGGUGCCUGGAAUGGCCCAUUGUCCAAACAGUUUACUGCUACGGGAUGGGACUGCGGCUAUCAGCUUGUUGGUGAGGUAAUGGCCCACCAAGGCUAUAACAGGUACGGGCUCUGAGAGGAGAAGCCCGGAGAUGGGUACUGAGACACGGACCCAGGCCCUAUGGGGCGCAGAGGCGAGAAACCUUAGCAAUGUGCGAAAGCACGACUGGGUCAGUCCGAGUGAUUUCUGAUAAAGGAAUCUUUUUACCGUCCUAAAAGCACGGGCGAAUCAGGGGGUGGGCAAAGUCUGGUG